ACAGCCAUAUGGCGUUGAAACACCGGUUCUUGUCCGAUCACCGAAGUUAAGCAACGUCGAGCCUAGACAGUACCUAGAUGGGUGCCCACUUGGUAAUACUAGAUGCU
rnacentral:rRNA from 1 species